rnacentral:rRNA from 1 species
UACGAAGGGGGCUAGCGUUGUUCGGAAUUACUGGGCGUAAAGCGCACGUAGGCGGAUACUUAAGUUAGGGGUGAAAUCCCGGGGCUCAACCUCGGAAUUGCCUUCGAUACUGUUAGUCUUGAGUCCGGGAGAGGUGAGUGGAAUUCCUAGUGUAGAGGUGAAAUUCGUAGAUAUUAGGAAGAACACCAGUGGCGAAGGCGGCUCACUGGCCCGGUACUGACGCUCAUGUGCGAAAGCGUGGGGAGCAAACAGG